AACGAACGCUGGCGGCAUGCCUAACACAUGCAAGUCGAACGCGUGUAGCAAUACACGAGUGGCGGACGGGUGAGUAACGCGUGGGAACCUGCCCAAUGGUAGGGAAUAACUGCGGGAAACUGCAGCUAAUACCCUAUGCUCCCUACGGGGGAAAGAUUUAUCGCCAUUGGAGGGGCCCGCGUCGGAUUAGCUAGUUGGCGGGGUAACGGCCCACAAGGCUACGAUCCGUAGCUGGUCUGAGAGGAUGAUCAGCCACACUGGGACUGAGAUACGGCCCAGACUCCUACGGGAGGCAGCAGUGGGGAAUAUUGGACAAUGGGGGAAACCCUGAUCCAGCAAUGCCGCGUGAGUGAAGAAGGCCUUAGGGUU
rnacentral:rRNA from 1 species